UGUGGGAGCGGGCUUGCUCGCGAAGGCGUCGUGUCAGGCAGCAUUAAUAUCGACUGACACUCCGCCUUCGCGAGCAAGCCCGCUCCCACA
rnacentral:misc_RNA from 1 species